rnacentral:rRNA from 1 species
UACGUAGGUGGCAAGCGUUAUCCGGAAUUAUUGGGCGUAAAGAGCGCGCAGGUGGUUAAUUAAGUCUGAUGUGAAAGCCCACGGCUUAACCGUGGAGGGUCAUUGGAAACUGGUUGACUUGAGUGCAGAAGAGGGAAGUGGAAUUCCACGUGUAGCGGUGAAAUGCGUAGAGAUAUGGAGGAACACCAGUGGCGAAGGCGGCUUCCUGGUCUGCAACUGACACUGAGGCGCGAAAGCGUGGGGAGCAAACAGG